AUCCCCAUAGCUUUUCAAGCAACCACCACCCAAAGAUGCGCUUUCCUAAGAAUCAUAUAUAAAAGAAACUCACAAGACGGCUACAUAAAACCUCCCGUAGGAGCCUAUCAGAAACAUAUUUUGCUCUACCAACUUCUACAACCCGUACCCAGCACUGGGCCUCGUCAGCACCCUUUUAACUUCUGAAAAUACGAAACACAAGGAAAGGACCAGGGAAAAUGGGAGAGAAGCAACAUUUUGACUACAUUGAUUCACUUCACCACAGGUACAAAGAAAAC
rnacentral:misc_RNA from 1 species